UACGUAGGUGGCAAGCAUUAUCCGGAUUUAUUGGGCGUAAAGGGAACGCAGGCGGUCUUUUAAGUCUGAUGUGAAAGCCUUCGGCUUAACCGGAGUAGUACAUUGGAAACUGGGAGACUUGAGUGCAGAAGAGGAGAGUGGAACUCCAUGUGUAGCGGUGAAAUGCGUAGAUAUAUGGAAGAACACCAGUGGCGAAAGCGGCUCUCUGGUCUGUAACUGACGCUGAGGUUCGAAAGCGUGGGUAGCAAACAGG
rnacentral:rRNA from 1 species